rnacentral:lncRNA from 1 species
CCAGCACAACAUGCCUUUCUGGCGGAUUUCCUGCCGCGCCGACCUGGAGGCGCUCAGGCAUGCGCUGGAGCUCCAGUACCUAUAGCAACACCUGACACCUGCCGUCGCCACACCCACAGGGCCGCUGGAUGCCCAGCCUCCCCUCCAAGAGCCCCAAAGGCCCGGACACCAGACCCCAGGCAGAGCGCUGCACCCCGAGGACUGUCCAGUGGCCGUCGCAGAAACCGUCCAGGGGGACCCCGAAAGCAGAGGGACGGUGGCGUAGGGGCGGAGGCUGCUUGGAGUCCUGAAUUCUGCAAGACGCAAAG